GGCCCACCUGCCUGAAAUCUUCACUCAGUGGCUAGGUCAUCCUCUCUAGAGGGCUACAAUUAAAAUUAAUGUGUUAUAAUUUGCACUGGUGUGCAUUCAUUCGUCUGAGAAUUCUACAGUCAGAAGACACUUUGCAUACCACUGUGGUCUAACUUCCUUUUCCAGUUGGGACAACUGGACCAUCAGCUCCAGGAGAUUGUGUUUUAUUCCUCUGAUUCUUGCCUAGCACUGUGCCGUGGCUUCUGAUGGUGCCUAAAAAAGCAUCCCUGUUUGAGGCUGCCACUGCAACAUCUACCUCCAAGAGUACUUGGAGUAUGUCAUCCCAUUGCCUUCUGGAAACCAUAGUUUCUGAUAAGAAAUCAAUUAUUCCUCUUAUCAAGGACCCCUUUAGAUGAGAUCAUAUGACUGGAUCCCUCAUGAUGAGAUGAGUGCCCCCAAAAGAAGACACCAGAGAGCUUGCUUCUCUUUCCACACGCAUGCUCCAAAGAAAGGCCAUGCCAGAGCACAGAGAGAAGGAGAGCUCCCACCAGAACCUGGCAAAGUGUGCUGCUGGCAUGCUUGUCUCAUAAUUCUGCCCUCCAGGACUGUGAGAAAAUAAGUUUCUGUUGCUUAAACCGCCUAGUCUAUGGGAAUUUAUUAUGGAAGCCCAAGAAGACUAACACAAAUUUUGGUACCAGGAAGUGGAGUGCUGAUGCAACAAAUACCUAAACAUGCGUAAGUGGCUUUAGAAGUGGGCAAUGGAUAGACGAUGGAAAAGUUUUGAGGUGUAUGCUAGAAGAAGCCAAAAUUGCAGUGAAGUAUUUAAGGCAGUUGGAGUGAGGGCGCAGAAAGAAAAGAGAACAGCUAAGGGGAAUUAUCUGUCUUUCUAGAGAUAUAAUAAUAUAAUAAAUAAUCAUGAAGAGAAUGUUGAUAUCAAUAUGGAUGUUGAAGGCCAUUCUGUUGAGUUCUCAAAUGAAAAUGAGGAAAAAAAUUACUGGAAAAUGGAAGAAAAGUGAUCCUUUUAUAAAGUGACAUAGCACUUGGAUUAACCAUGUUCUAGUGUUUUGUGAAAUUGAUAUUUUUGACAAACAAAAUUAGAUAAUAUUUAGAUAAGACUUUGGAUUUUGCAAGUGAUAAAAUUAGAUAAUUAGCUAAGGAGAUACCUAAGCAAAGUGUUGAAGGAGUGGCUUGGUUCUUCCUGUUUAUGGUAAAAUGUGAAAGGAGAGAGAGAAAUUGAAGAAGAAAUUGUUAAGCAUAAAGGAACCAGAGUUGAAGAUUUGGAAAGUUUUCAGCCUAUCUCUAUUGCAAAAAAAUAAAAAAGCCUGUUGUGAAGACAACAGGAAGGGUGUGGUUGAACAAUUAUUUGAUAAAGAGAUCGUGGUAAUGACUCAUGGACUGAAUCAGCCAUCUCAGAAGAGGCCAGGAAUAGAGAUCAAUUAUACAAGCAAAAACACUGUCAAUUUGAACUAAGGGGUCAGAAACAAAUGAGAUGAAAUAAAGGCUGCCAGACUUUUAGAUCUUGCAAGACCAGACCGGAGAGCUAUUUGGCUGUAACUUUGUGCUUUUCAUGAAAAUGAAGUAGUGACCCCAAAGGCAAUUCAGAGAUCAUCAGGUCAAUGUCCUUUGUGGCAAAGGGUGGGACCAUUGCCUCAGUUUCAAUAGGCCAUAUGGCCUCUGAUUAAAGCCUGGGGAUGUGGCCUUGGAGACAGGGCUGUGUAAAAGCCUGGAGGCAGGAUCCACUAUCCCUGUAGGUCUUAAAUGGCAUUAAAUGAAAAAGAGAUAUCUUGAGCCUUAAGAGCUAAUGGAAUUUGCCUUGGUUGGUUUUGGACGUUCUUGUGGCCUGUCUCUCGUUCCUUCUUUCUUAAUUUUUCCUUUUGGAAUGGGAAUGGCUAUCUCAUGCCUAUUCCACUAUCUGUUAUAAUUUGGAAGCACAUAACUUUUAUGGUUUUACAGGUUUACAGCUGGAGAAUAAUUUUGAUUUUUGGGAUAAGCCUUACUUAUAUUUGAUUUAGAUACUAUUUAGAUGAGACUUUGUACUUUAGAAUUGAUGCUGGAAUCUGUUAAGACUUUUGAGGCUUUUGGGAUAAAAUUAAGGUAUUUUGCAUGUGAGAAGGACAUCUUGGGGGUCCAGGGCAGAAUGUAUGAACUGAAUAUAUGUGUGCCACUCAAAGUUAUAUGUUAAUAUGAUGCUAUUCAGAGAUGAGGCUUUUGGGUGCAUAAAUAAGUUUAGAUGAGAUCAUAUGAAUGGGAACUCAUGAUGGGAUUAGUGCCCUUAAAAGAAGAGAUACCAGAGAUGUUGCUCUGUCUCUGUGCAUGUGAACCAAAGGAGUGCACAGUGAGAAAGAAGCCUGGAAAAGAGGCUUCAAAAACUUCACCAUGCUGGACCAUUCUAGCCUCCAGGACUGUGAGAAAAUAAAUUUAUGUUGUUCAAGUGAUCAGUCUCUGGUAUUUUGUUAUGGCAGCCCAAGCACACAGACACUAUGGACAAUUCAUUCACCACAUUUUCCAUGUAAGGUUUUGGUCAGCUUCUUGUUUGCCCAAAUUUUAUAGAAGCCUCAGGUAGCUGAUAUUAAGCAGUUACCAUGGAUGGUUUUUGACCGAUGUCCUGGGGAAACGUUGUUUACAAGGAGUUAUCUCUGAGUCCGGUCAAGUAAAGACAAACCCUGCUAGUAGAGGUUUCCAGGAAACUACCAGCCAGAUCAAAUAAUAACAACUGGUAAGGGCAUUUUUGAGGAGUUUCAAAACUGUUUUUCCCUCUCUUUUGGUUGGUAGGCUGCUGGUUUUUUUAUGGCUAUGCUUAUCACUGCUAUCAUAUUUACCAAGCUGUUGGUUUUCAAAGCUAUUGUAGAGCUGAGAAGAGAGGAUGGGAGUAGCGCAAGUUAAAACACCAGAAAGGUCACUGUUCUCAUUGAGAUUCAGCUGUUUUUUCUUUAAUAAAGAAUCUUUGAAUUUCUCUGUUGGUUAGUUGACAGAGUUCUUAAAAUGUUGAUUUAGUGUUUUCAUUGCCAUUAUGGAGGAGCAGAUAUUUGGAAGCCUUUCACUGCAGCAUUCUUGCAAUGUCCCAACACCCUAACUCAAUUAAUUUUUGUUGAGUAUAUUAAUUUAAUUGACUUUUUGUUGUCUCUCUAACAUUGGUUUUAUCCUUAUCUAUUAAUGUAAGGUGGGAUUUGGAGCUGGUUUCACACUCAGAUCCAGGGAUGACCCCUAAUUGUUCAAAGCCAACAUUCUCACUCUGAACACUAUUGAAAUUUUGGGUCCAAUACUUCACUGUUCUGGGCGUUGUAGGAUCCUUAACAAUAUCCCUGGACUCUACCAACUAGAGGCUAGUAACACUGUUGCAGUUGUGACAAUCAAAAGUUUUCCAGACAUUACCAAAUGUCCCCUGCUGGACAAAAUUGCCUCAGACUGAGAAUCACUGUUCUAACCAAAUUAAUAUAGUUUCAUUAUUAUAAACACAAAAAUUGAUUCAGGUAAACAAAACUUAUGUCCUAAAGCGUAUGUCAAUCCCCUGAUCACAGUUAUUAGUUCAGGAAUGGAAAUGUAACCAAUUCAAGCCAGGGAGGUAUGAGAGAAGGUUGCUGGAAACAACUAGAGGAAGUUUCUUUUUUUCUGUUUUUUGUUUGGGUUGUGUGAGGAUGUGAAAUCCAUUGGAUGACCAGCCUUAAAAGGAAUCUAAAAAUGACACAUAACGUGUGAUAUGUUUUGGGUGUGUGUCCCCUCAACAUCUCAUGUUGAAAUGUGACCUCCAAAGUUGGAGGUGUCUAGUGGGAGGUGUUUGAGUCAUAGGAGCAGAUUCCUCAUGAAUGGCUUGGUACCAUCUUUUUGGUGUUGAGUGAGUUCUCACUAUAUUAGUUCACUCAAGAGCUGGUUGUUUAAAGAGCCUGGCACCUCCUCCCUGCUCUCUUGUUCCCUCUUGCCAUGUGAUCUGUGGGCUCCCCCUAUGCCUUCCACCAUGAUUGUAAGCUUCCUGAGGCCUCACCAGAAGCCAAGCAGAUGCUGGUGCCAUGCUUGCAUAACCUGCAGAACUAUGAGCCAAAUAAAACUCUUUUGGUUAUACAUUACCCAGUCUCAGGUAUUCCACUAUAGUAAUGCAAAGUGUGGUAAUACAAUGUGUCUGACACUGAGUAGAUAUUAAGGGUCAUUAUUAUAGCACUGAUUGGGCUUAUGGCAUGACCUUUGCUCUUCCUGUGAGACCUAUUUUAUUCAAACUCUUUGAACUUAAAGGUGCUCCUAAAUGUUGUAAGGGAUUCUACCUCCAUAAUGUCUCUUUCAAGUUUAGUUCUUUUUCAUAUCAACACUCUAAUUCCCAUUUUACUUCUUAAUUCUUAAUUGGUUAAGUGGAAUUCUUUUCAUAAAAUGCUCUGAUUUUUCCUCUCUCCACCUUAUCCUGCCAUCCUUAGUUAUUUUUCUAAAGUGCACCUCUGAUUUUAUCACUGCUCUGUUCAAAAUGUUUCAAUGAUUUCUUUACUAUCUACCGAUUAAACCCUGUAUCUCAGCCUGUUUUUCAAUUUGACUAAAACCAAAUUUUCAAACCUAUGAACCUCUACUUUUCUUCUAUGAUCUAGUCUUUUAACCAAAUGAGAAUUCUCACAGUUUCCAGAGUAAGGUCUUAUGUUUCUUGUCUCUGUUCUCUCUCUCUCUCAAUCUCUCUCUUCCUCUCUUUCUCUUUUUCUUUCUUUCUUUCUCUCUUUCUUUCUUUCUUUCCUUCUUUCUUUCUCUUUCUCUCUCUCUCUUUCUUUCUUUUUCUUUCUUUCUUUCUUUCUUUCUUUCUUUCUUUCUUUCUUUCUUUCUUUCUUUCUUUCUCCCUCCCUCUCUCUUUCUUUCUUUCUCUUUCUCCCUCCCUCUCUCUUUCUUUCUUUCUUUCUCUCCUUUCUUUUUUUUCUCACUCUGUCACUCAGGCUGGAGUGCAGUGGUGCAGUCUCAGCUCACUGCAACCUCUGCCUCCCAGGUUCAAGCGAUUGUCCUGCCUCAGCCUCCCCAGUAGCUGGGAUUACAGCCAUGUGCCACCAUGCCCAGGUAAUUUUUGUAUUUUUGGUUGAGAAGGGGGUUUCACCAUGUUGGCUAGGCUGGUCUGGAACUUCUGACCUCAAGUGAUCCACCUGCCUCAGCCUCCCAAAGUACUGGGAUUCCAGGAGUAAGCCACUGCACCUGGCCUCUGUUCAUUUUCUUAUGCUAUUUCUGGCACCAAUAUAUGAAAAGUAGUAAUUAUAAUGAAAAUACAUAGCUUUUACUUAGCACUAGCCCUCUGCCAGAUACUGUGCUUUAUCUCAUUUAAUUCUCAAAACAAAAACAAGAUGAAAGAAUGUGUUAGGUACUUCUAUUUAGCCUGCUGGCACAUAAGAGGAAAUUACAGCUUGGAGAGGUUAAAUAAUUUCCCAAGGUCACACAGAUAAUUGAAAUAACCUGAAACUUAAACUCAGAUCUUUCCGCUUGUUCAUAUUCUUGUUCUUAGUCACAAUGCUAUAUUGCUUUCACCUUACUUGUCUUUGUUGUCUCUCUGUCAUUAUCUGUUGAAAUUGUUUUUUUCCCAGUCUAAAUUUUUAUGUUAUUCAUAACAUGUGUUCUAGUCUUUUAACCCAGAAACAUUUUUUUUGGCCUCUAAUAUCUCACUGACCCCAGCAGAACACCUGGUACUUCAUGAUAAAUAGCCAAUAUAUGUUUUAAAUAAAGGAGAUGGAUAUUUAAGUUGGAGCCUAGGUAUCUGGUUCUUUUAUUUCACAAUUGCUGUAAAGAGAAAAAUAAAAAUUGUUCAGUAUUUUCCAGAAAAUAAGCACUCUAUAAAUAUUUGUUAAAUUUAAUGAAUUGCUGAAAAUUCAAUAAAUCAACUUCUUACGUGUCUACUUCUCUUUCAACUGUCCUUAUGCAGACCAUAGCUAUAUGUGUAAUAGCAAAAUGUCAAAUCAUUUACCCAUUAUAUGUGGAAUACCCAUUACUUUCUGUGUGGAUUGUGCAGGUGAGCAGACCUGGGGGUCUAUUUGUUCUGUAAUUGAUAGCAGAAAAGGGCCUAGUCUUAAAUGUUUCCAGGGGAAUUCAGAAUUUCCAGCCACACAACCAACUGUAACUAUGGCUUUCCUUCCACAGAGGUGCUGUUUUGUGGGCUUUCAGACUGAAAACAAAUCUGUUUCAUGGUAUGUCUGUUUUGUCUGUCCUCAAAUGUGCGUGGUACUUAAGAAUAGCAAGGACAGGGCAUGAAGGUGGAAAAGAGAGGAGAAGCAGCAGCAAUGAGGAGAAGAUGAAGGGCAAUGAUGGGGACGAGAUUAAAUUAAAUGCCAGAGCUCCCAGCCCUUAGAGGCUGUUGCGGAUGCUGUUGCCCUGAGUUAGCAACAUAAAUCAAUAAGUCAGAUCCGGCUGAACUCCGGUGCCCCGCAAGUUCUAUUCAAAUCAGGAAUUCUAGGAUUCUAUUUUAUAAAAAACUUUUAAAAAUGUUUGGACAUAGGUCAUGUUAUCAAUAGCAGAGUUUCUCAGACAAGAGUAUGUGAACAUUUUCCUGUGCGUGUGUAUUCUCCAAGAAAAUAAUCCAUUUUAUAAUUACAUUUUGAUUAUAGCCCUAAAAAAGUAAUCUAUGCAUGUCUGGGUUAUCUGGGCCUCCUAAUGCAGUUUAAUCAUGCAAUUUUUGUAGCACACUUUUGAUGAAUUAAUAAUCUGAUUAGACGGAGGCAGUGCUAUUUAUUUAUCUUGAGUUAAUGGGAAAAGGCUAGGUUUGUCCUCCAUAUGUAACCGAGGUAUUGCUGUGUGUUCCCCAUAUGUACUCUACCUAAAUAACUCAGGCAUGUGCCUAUUUGUGCUCCAUAUGUGCACCACAUGUAUAACUUAGGUGUGUGUCUGUACGUUUUCCAUGGAUUAUGUAUGUAAUUCUGAUGUGUGUCUGUGUUUCCUGUGUGUGCUGUGUAUGUAACUUAUGUGUGAGCCUGUAUGUGUACUACAUGUAUAACUCAGGUGUGUGCCUGCAUUGAUUGCAUAUGUGCACUAUUUAUGUAACUCAAGUGCGUGUACAUGUUUUAUAUGUGCACUGCAUGUAUAACUCAGAUGUAUGCUUGCAUGUGUUUCCUAUGUGCACUAAACAUGUAACUCAGGCAUUGCUCUUAUGUUCCCCCUAUGUGCACUAAAUAUAUAACUUAAACAUGUAUCAUACCACUGAUUUUACAAAAGUUGGAAUAGACAAAAAUUUUGAGAGUAUUAUAUGUAUAGACAUGUCAAACUUUACGUGUGCCUGUGUACUAUCAUAUUCACACUGAGAAUUAUAACUUACUUUCAGUGAAAUAAUGUGUUUAUUCAUAGCAAUGUUAUUGAUUUUCACACUACUUUAAAGAUUUUGAUUGCUUUUAAUGUAUAAAUUAAUUUUUAGUUUUAUAGUUGUUGUAAAAGAACCAUGAGGAUAGGGCAGGCAGAUUAUACCUAGUGGCAUAUAUUAAUAUUGUUGUAAAAAUAAGUUGUCAACAUUGGCAGUCAGUGAGAUCUUUUUCCUUUACAAGAGAUCUUUACAUUACUAAGUUUGAAAAGAAAAAAAAAAACUAUACCGUUUGAUUUUGAAGUACAUAUAAGUUCUAAUCUGUUGACCCCAAUAAGCCGUCUUAAGAGAAAAUAUUUCUGUUACCUAGGGAAAUGCUGAGCUUAUAAGUGGCAGUAUUCCAUUUAUUAUUAGAGUAGCUGCUUUCUGUUUUGUAAACUAUCAGCUUUAGUUAUUGAAUCAUAUAUAUAUUUUUUUAACCUGGAAAAAAAAUCACAUCAUGUUAAUGCUGGUAAAUUUUUGAGCUGCACUCAAGGAAAUGUGGCCAGGCAAUGAACUUUGGGUCACCAAAUCUAUUAAAUGUACUUUUAUUAUUAUUAUUAUUAUUUUCAUUUGGUUAAAUACAGCAUGUUAAUAGCAUGAAGAGGCCCUAUCAAACACUUUUUCCUUCUUUUGGUGUGAAAGGGUUAAACAGUGACUUCACAACAUUGCAGUCACUUCCACAUGUAUUAUCUCAUAUCAUCGCAGUAAUGCUGUGAAGAUGAUGUCAUCUCAGCUCCAUACAUGACACAUUUGUGAGCCAAGGGACUGAGUGAAUUGUGCCAAUCAUAAAUCUGGUGGAUCCAUCUCCAAAUACAGGUGUUCCAGCUUCAAGCUUUGGGCUCCUUUCACUAUAUCAUGUGGCUCCUCUAAAUUAAAUUUAAACUAAUUUCCUGAUAGAUAAAUUUAUCUAGAGAAGGUGUAAUAUUAACUCAUAUGGAGAUCUUUAAGAGAUACAUUUCUCAUCCUGUAUCUGAUAUAGUUUAUUAUUGUGAGUAUAGAAUAUACAUAUAUUUCUGCUGACUGCCAGAAAAGAUUUAGAUAAAACACAAGAAUAUAAAACAGGUCUUUUAACAUGGAUUAAAAUGUGAAAGUCAAGUAAUAGAGGAAGAAAAUAAGGCUCGGCCUUCAAGAAUUUAUGCCACCGUCUCUUAAUUUUUCUUUCCACUGUCUCGUGGCCUGUCCAAAAUCAAUACAGUAUAAAUAAAAAUAUCGUUUUCCUGUUACCUUUCUUCUCAUGAACAUAAGGCCUCAGAACUAUGAAAGAAAAUGGAUGAGAACAAUUCCUUUUUAUCUUUUGUUUUUUUCUUAUUAUGAUGAUUAUUUUAGCUUUAUGUUCUUUCUGAGCUUAAAGAUGAGACAUGUGCUUUGUAGAGAAUUUGGAAAAAUAUGAAGAAUCAGGAAAUGUGUUUAUUAUUCCAGCAAUAGUAAUUUCUUAGUGUAUUUUUAAAAAUAAGUUUUUAGUUUACCUGAGAACAUAUGCUUUCUUUACUUGACAUUUUUAAUGUUAUUAAAUUCCCUAUAUUAUUAGAAAGCUUUUAUGUUUAAUGGCCACAAAAUAUUCUACCAUAUUGAUAUAUUCUGUCUUAUUUAAGCAUCUACCUAAUAUUGAAUACUUGAGUGAUGUCCAGUUUCUCACUGUUAUUAUAAAUGAUGCACGUCUGUGCAUAACUUUUAUGGGCAUUUUGGCAUAUGGUAGUUUCUAAGAAGACUUAAUAGGCCAAAAGAGAUGAAUAUUCUAAAUUAUUUUGAUGAACAUUACCAAAUUUAUUUCUAAACUCUCAUACCAAUCCAUACCCCUGUCCACAACAUCAGAGUGCAUGUAUUUCAUGGUGCCCUCAUCUGCACAGAUGUUCUUGUUAAUUUCUUUCAUUUGAUAGGCAAAUGCUGCAUCACAUUGAUUUAAUUUGCAUUAUUUAAAAAAUUGAACUAUUACUGCUCAUAUUUACUAGUCAUAUCUAUUCUUCUUUUGAAAAUUGUCCAACUAAUCUUCUUAACUCUCCACUAUCAUUCAUCACCACUCUACUUCAGGAAAAUAGAAUCACGAAAAUUAAAGACAUUUAGAGCUGCAAUCAGCAUGAUCAAUCCCUCACUAUACAUGUGACUCUAGAUACAUUCAGGGACUGGACCACGAGCCCAUCCCUGGGAAGCUGAGUGACUGAGUAAUAUGUGCCUCUAAGCCUUCUGCCUGUCUUUAUUGUCUCCUCCUCCUUGUUUUUACUGCCCUCCCCCACCUUUCUUCCAUGCACCCUUCCUUGUGAUGAUGUUCUCUCCUCAGUGUAAAUGUUUUGACAUCUUUGUAGUAUCCUGGGAUUAGUAGGCUUGCAUGUGAACCUGGAAACGGAAGUCAGUACUGGCCUUUGUUCCAGGUUGUCUGAUGUCCCAUCCCCACCUUCUCUUACCCAUGGCUGUGUGUCUACGAGUACAGCAGGGGCUCCAUUACCAAGUCCCCUGAGUGACAGGAACUCAGUGAUUUCACAAGACUCCUGCAGAAUGUGCAAAGAAGGCUAAGUGUUCUAUUCAUUGUAUUUCUUGCUAUUUACUUUACCUCCUAGAAGGACAUUCAUGGUUAAAAUGUACCCAGCACCCUGUAUGAUGAGCCAACUGGGUGAGCAUCUGUGUGGUUCCUGGUCAGUCCUCACAGCAACACCGCAAAGGAGAUGCGAUGGUUCUUAUUUUACAUCUGAGCCCUAGGGAACUGUGUCCCACAUCUUAGACUAUUUUCCCGCCAUUACAUAGCUAAUAAGGAGAGAGGGCUUGAAUCUAGGUCUGUCUGAUUCCCAAGCCUGGCAUGGCCUCUCUGCUGUAUUUCUUUGCCAAUCUGGCAGUGGGUAGGGAAAUCUCAGCUUGUGCCUUUUCUAUGCUAAUGUGACCCAUGGACUGACUCACAUGGGGUGGGAGCAAAGGUUAAAUGCACCUUCCAUUCUGACAGCAAAUGACUGAGUUCAUUGAGGAACAGGGGCAAGUCUGGGGUUCUUAUUCCCAGCGUAUGGUAGACGCUUAACAACUAUUUGUUAUUACUGAAUGAAAGAUGCUUUUCAUUAAGCUACCUGUUUCUCUCAUGUAAAAGUAGGGUUACCUAGUCUAUAUGGCAGGGACAAUCUGGCAGUACUUAUUCUGCUUUAUAAUGACUUUGUCUUUCUUUAGCAAUUGAUUUAUGCUCUCUUAACUUUCCAUUCUUCAAAAUGAGGCUACCAAACUGCAAGUGUUGUGAUUAAGAUGAAUAUGUUUUGAACUCAUAGAAAACAUGAUUAACUUUACUGAAAAUAUAAUAGAAAUUUUGAAUUCUAAAAAAAUCCUUAGGGGAAUGAAUUCUGAACAUAUUAUAGGUGGAGUCUUCUUUUAUAGGAAAAUAUUUAUUUUUCUAUUUUUUAUUUUUAAUUUUGCACAUUCCUAUCAAAUGUGUUUUUUAUAUAGCGCUCCAUAGUGACAGUGCUAUGAAGCUACCUGCCUGCAGCCAGGCAAUGUCCUGUCCAUCUCUCUGGGAUGAGUGGGCUUGCUUGUAUUCCAGAAAUUUAAGUCAGCACUCACCUUUGUUCCAGGUUAUCUAAUAUCUCAUUCUGAACCCAUACUUAACAUACACUUGCUGUCCCAACUACACUAUACUAUGGUGGCACAUCACAAGCUUCACAAAUCAAGUUUUUAGAUGCACGAGUACAGUCAUAGGAAGAAUGGAUAUGUUUCUUUUAAUUCUUUCUGAGAACUAGAACUAUACAAAUCUUUAUAAUCAAUCUACUUCUGUAAUCUGAACUUCAAUAAACCAUUUGGCAAGAAAUGUAGUAUUUAUAAAUGGAAGAGCCACAUUAAGUAUUUUCCUUUUAACAAACUUGAAAUUUGCUAACACUCAAAACCAGAGGUCAACAAAUUUUGUAAAGAACAAAAUAGUAAAUAUUUUAGACUUUAUGGGCCAAGAUGCAAAAUCAAACACAUUAUGUAGGUACUUACCUAAGAAGAGAGAAAACAAAU